rnacentral:rRNA from 1 species
AUUGAACGCUGGCGGCAGGCUUAACACAUGCAAGUCGAGCGGGGUGAUGGUGCUUGCACUAUCACUUAGCGGCGGACGGGGAGUAAUGCUUAGGAAUCUGCCUAUUAGUGGGGGACAACAUCUCGAAAGGGAUGCUAAUACCGCAUACGUCCUACGGGAGAAAGCAGGGGAUCAAUUGUGACCAUGCGCUAAUAGAUGAGCCUAAGUCGGAUUAGCUAGUUGGUGGGGUAAAGGCCUACCAAGGCGACGAUCUGUAGCGGGUCGGAGAGGAUGAUCCGCCACACUGGGACUGAGACACGGCCCAGACUCCUACGGGAGGCAGCAGUGGGGAAUAUUGGACAAUGGGGGGAACCCUGAUCCAGCCAUGCCGCGUGUGUGAAGAAGGCCUUAUGGUUGUAAAGCACUUUAAGCGAGGAGGAGGCUCUUUUGGUUAAUACCCAAGAUGAGUGGACGUUACUCGCAGAAUAAGCACCGGCUAACUCUGUGCCAGCCGCCGCGGUAA